GCGAGAGUGGCGGAACUGGCAGACGCGCUAGACUUAGGAUCUAGUGGGCUAGACCCCGUGGGGGUUCGAGUCCCCCCUCUCGCAC
rnacentral:tRNA from 1 species